rnacentral:sRNA from 1 species
GCCGGGCACAGUGGCGCAUGCCUGUAAUCCCAGCAAUUUGGGAGGCUGAGGCAGGAGGACGUCAGGUUUCAAAGCCAGUCUCAG